AACAUUAUGCACGUCCCAGAUGCCUUAGAGGCCGAUAUGAGAAAUAAGAAGCAUCUGGACGAAUUAGUUCUGGAAUGGGGAGGCAAGUCUGGUGAGACAGACGAUACUCAAAGAGAGAGAGAGAGAGAUGUUUUGGAGAACCUCCAACCUCAUAUAAAUGUCAAGAGCUGUCAAUUCGAUCUUAUUGGGGCACAAGAUUUCCAGGUUGGUUAGAACAUUAUUCUAAUCUGGUUCAUCUUGAACUUCGGGAUUGCGCAAAUUGUUGGUGCCUACCAUCAUUAGAGCAGCUACACUCCCUUCAAAAGCUUUACAUUCGAGGAUUUAAUGGAGAGCUGAAUGUGGGUUCGAAGCCUAUUCAUAAUCUUCUAAAGCUUUGGCUGAUUUCUUGUCCCGAGGUAACCGGGACAUUUAUGUUUGAAAACUUCCCAAAGCUUGAAUACUUCUUCUUGAGUAAUGUCAAUGUAGAAUCUCUACAUUCUUCUGCACUCCUCGCCCUUGUUGGGCUUGAUAUAUCUAAUUGUCCAAACUUUGUUUGUUUUCCCAAUGGAGGGCUGGAUGCGCCCAACUUGAGGUACCUCACAGUGGAAAGCUGUCAGAAACUGAGAUCAUUGCCACAAGACAUGCACAACCUUCUCCCAUCUCUCAGGCACUUAUGGCUGACAGAAUGUCCGGAAUUGGAAUCAUUCCCUGAAGGGGGAAUGCCGUCUAAGCUUGAACACUUAGACAUCAGUUGCUGCAAGAAACUCAUUGAAAACCGAAUGCAAUGGGGUCUACAAACACUCACCUCCCUCAAAUACUUUCGCAUUGAUUAUUUGGGAUGUGAACAGUUAGUUGAUUCAUUUCCAGAUGAGGGGAUGCUGCCCACCACUUUCUCAAACCUCGAUGUCCGCGGUAUAUCGAACCUGGGCGGCAAGGGGUUUACAGAACUCACCUUUCUUAAGACUUGAGUAUUGCUGGUUGCCUUAAACUACGGUGCUUGCCAGAUGAACGGCUACACACUUCCCUUAAUUAUCUAGCUAUCAGUGGUUGUCCACUACUAGAACAACGUUGCCAGAGAGAGACAGGGGAAGAUUGGCCCACGAUUUCUCAUAUCAGGAGCAUUGAAAUCAAUUACAUAUAUAUAUGACGUGCAAUGGUGCAUGCAGGCUUUUGUUUUGUACAAAACAGAAAAUGUGUGAAAAAGUUUCUUGCUAAUGCCCGAUUCGUCAUGCCUACGCAUUUUUCAAGUUCCAUGGACUUUAGGAUUGCAUUAAGUCUUCAUUCCGCACCAAAUCAGAACAUUUUAACUUUGGAUAUAUGAACUAUGAAGCAGUGAUUACAAUAAUGCAAUUGCUGUUUCCCUGGUUGAUUCACUUAGUAUCCAGUUCUGAACUACUCAAGCAGUUCAAGGAUUCUCUCCUCUCAUGAAUGGCAGGGGAAUGUUUGCUGCUGUAUAUAGGUUAUUGUUUUUUCUAACAAAACCGUGACAAUCAAGAUGUGUACCAAAAAAUUUUCUGGUAAUCCUUGAUUCAUCCAAUGUCUGUACAUUGAUCUAGUUUGAUGGAUUAUAAAUGUCAAUAGGUUUCAUCAUGAGAUAGAUGCAAUGUGUGUUAAACCUAAACUGCGAGCAUCGGCAAAAAUGACGAACAUGUUUUUCUUAAACAAAUGUUAGACGAAACCUUUACAUACAUAAAUGAAAAAUGGUUUUGUUCAAGUAUGCUUGCUGUUGUGGAC